GAUGAACGCUAGCGGCAGGCUUAAUACAUGCAAGUCGAGGGGCAGCAGGACUGUAGCAAUACAGUUGCUGGCGACCGGCAAACGGGUGCGGAACACGUACGCAACCUACCCAAAACUGGGGGAUAGCCCGGGGAAACCCGGAUUAAUACCUCGUAACCUUUUUAAGUGGCAUCACUUGAUAAGUAUAGCUCCGGCGGUUUUGGAUGGGCGUGCGCCUGAUUAGGUAGUUGGUGCGGGUAACGGCCCACCAAGCCUGCGAUCAGUAACUGGUGUGAGAGCACGACCAGUCACAUGGGCACUGAGACACGGGCCCGACUCCUACGGGAGGCAGCAGUAAGGAAUAUUGGUCAAUGGACGCAAGUCUGAACCAGCCAUGCCGCGUGAAGGAUGAAGGUCCUCUGGAUUGUAAACUUCUUUUAUGGGGGACGAAACCCGGAUAUUCUUAUCCGAUUGACGGUACCUCAGGAAUAAGCACCGGCUAACUCCGUG
rnacentral:rRNA from 1 species